AACGAACGCUGGCGGCGUACUUAACACAUGCAAGUCGGACGAGAAAGGGAGCUUCGGCUCCUGAGUACAGUGGCGUACGGGUGCGUAACACGUAAGUCAUCUGCCCCAGACUUUGGGAUAACGGCUCGAAAGGGCCGCUAAGACCAGAUAGCACCUUGCAGUACAGGCUGUGAGGGGAAAGCGGGCCCCCCCGAGGCUCACGGUCCGGGAUGAGCUUGCGGCCCAUUAGCUUGUUGGUAGGGUAAUGGCCUACCAAGGCAACGAUGGGUAGCUGGUCUGAGAGGAUGAUCAGCCACACUGGCACUGAGACACGGGCCAGACUCCUACGGGAGGCAGCAGUGGGGAAUUUUGCGCAAUGGGCGAAAGCCUGACGCAGUAACGCCGCGUGGAGGAUGAAGGCCUUCGGGUCGUAAACUCCUGUCAGGGGGGAAGAGGACGGGGGUCCAAAGAGGGCUCGCGUUCAGACGGUACCCCCAAAGGAAGCCCCGGCUAAUUC
rnacentral:rRNA from 1 species